GACGAACGCUGGCGGCGUGCUUAACACAUGCAAGUCGGACGGAAAGGCCCUGCUUUUGUGGGGUGCUCGAGUGGCGAACGGGUGAGUAACACGUGAGUAACCUGCCCUUGACUUUGGGAUAACUUCAGGAAACUGGGGCUAAUACCGGAUAGGAGCUCCUGCUGCAUGGUGGGGGUUGGAAAGUUUCGGCGGUUGGGGAUGGACUCGCGGCUUAUCAGCUUGUUGGUGGGGUAGUGGCUUACCAAGGCUUUGACGGGUAGCCGGCCUGAGAGGGUGACCGGCCACAUUGGGACUGAGAUACGGCCCAGACUCCUACGGGAGGCAGCAGUGGGGAAUAUUGCACAAUGGGCGGAAGCCUGAUGCAGCAACGCCGCGUGCGGGAUGACGGCCUUCGGGUUGUAAACCGCUUUCGCCUGUGACGAAGCGUGAGUGACGGUAAUGGGUAAAGAAGCACCGGCUAACUACGUGC
rnacentral:rRNA from 1 species